rnacentral:rRNA from 1 species
GACGUAGGGGGCCAGCGUUGCUCGGAAUUACUGGGUGUAAAGGGUUCGUAGGCGGUGUGGCAAGUCGGGAGUGAAAUCUCUGGGCUCAACCCAGAGUCUGCUUCCGAAACUGCUGUGCUUGAGUGUGGGAGAGGCGCGUGGAAUUGCAGGUGUAGCGGUGAAAUGCGUAGAUAUCUGCAGGAACACCCGUGGCGAAAGCGGCGCGCUGGACCACUACUGACGCUGAGGAACGAAAGCUAGGGGGAGCAAACGGG